UGGUUCUGGCAUCGAUGAAGAACGCAGCGAAAUGCGAUAAGUAAUGCGAAUUGCAGAAUUUCCGUGAGUCAUCGAAUCUUUGAACGCACAUUGCGCCUAUUGGUAUUCCGAUGGGCAUGCCUGUUCGAGCGUCAUUAUCCUCUCUCAAACCUCGGGUUUGGUGUUGGACCGGUGUUGUUGGGGACAACCGAACAACUGGUCUUAAAGACAAUGACGGCGUCCGUGGGACCCUCUUCGCAACGAGCUUCUCGGAGCACGCGUCGAGUAUCAAGGACCUUCCGGGCCGGUCUACCUCAUUAUUUUUUCUCAGGUUGACCUCGGAUCAGGUAGGAAUACCCGCUGA
rnacentral:misc_RNA from 1 species